GAUGAAAACCAUUUGAGAAAACCGUAUGCCUAUCAUCCAGGGUAACAUUGACUCUCUAGCACAUUAAUAUAGUUUGUUUUGAUCUCAGGAUUACCCUUCCUGAAGUCUCUGAGGGAUCAUAGGCUUUCUUAGCCUGAGUAGUGGAGAGUUUUCAAUCUGUGAGUAUGUGGGAAGACAUUUCCAGGAGGAAUGACAUUACUUCAAGACAAGGAAAAGGGAACUGAAAAUUAUACCAAUCACAAAGCACUAGCAAAGAUAGCUCUCUGAAAAAGAUGUUGAAAUCCCUUGGAAGAAUGAUAGUGGCUGCAUACUAGAAGCUCAUGAACUCAACUUUGCUUCCUGGGAAAAUUUCAGAAUGGAUCAUGAAAGAGACCAUUGUUGCUUCUAGGGUAAAAGCACUCUUGCGAGUCACCCAGAUGCCAGAUUCCACCACAACCUCUACAACCAUCCCAGCCUGAUGCUCUGGACAAGCCUACAGUCAAUUCCUCUAGCUCCUAAUGUUAGGCAGGGAGAUCUCUAUGCCCAUUCUCAGCUCUGAAGAAGUUACAGAAGACAGGUCACCUUCCCGUUUUCCCUUACAUAU
rnacentral:lncRNA from 1 species